CCAAUAGCGUAUAUUAAAGUUGUUGCAGUUAAAAAGCUCGUAGUUGAAUUUCGGGAUCAAUAUAUCGGUCGUGCCAUCGGUACGUACUGGUAUCAUUGGUUUCUCCUUUCUGACGAACCAUGAUGUCAUUAAUUUGGUGUUAUGGGAAGUUAGGACUGUUACUUUGAAAAAAUUAGAGUGUUUAAAGCAGGCUUUCGCUUGAAUACAUUAGCAUGGAAUAAUGAAAUAGGACGUUCGAACCUAUUUUGUUGGUUUCUAGGAUCAACGUAAUGAUUAAUAGGGAUAGUUGGGGGCAUUAGUAUUCAAUUGUCAGAGGUGAAAUUCUUGGAUUUAUUGAAGACUAACUACUGCGAAAGCAUUUGCCAAGGAUGUUUUCAUUAAUCAAGAACGAAAGUCAGAGGUUCGAAGACGAUCAGAUACCGUCGUAGUUCUGACCAUAAACGAUGUCGACUAGCGAUCCGCGGCCGUUGUUCAUAUGACUUCGCGGGCAGCCUUCG
rnacentral:misc_RNA from 1 species